GGUCGGGUCCCAUGCGACGCGUCUCAAACGAACCCCGUCAGGUCCGGAAGGAAGCAGCGGUAGUUAUGAGAAGUGUGUGCUGUGGGGUGCCUGGCCUUU
rnacentral:SRP_RNA from 2 species